rnacentral:lncRNA from 1 species
AGAAAGUGCUAGGCACGUAGGCGUUCAGGAGACAGUCACGGUACUCGUUUCCAGACAGAAGUCAUGAGGAACAAGAGGGAAGGUGCUUUCCCGUGUGCAGCGCUUGGGGAGACUCACACAGACAGAGGAUCUGGCAUGACAGGGAAAGGAGGAAAUGGCUUCUGUUAAUCUCUCCUUCAGCUUCUCCCGCCCUUCCCAUGCACUCUUCCUGUUUCCCUUUCCAGUUCUCACGGUGACUCAAGGAACAACGUGUGAAAUGAAAGACCUCAGGUGCUGUAUUGGCUCUUGACAGCUCUUCAGAAGAAAAUACCUCCUGCCUGUUCUGUUCAGUCCUGGUGCAGGUGGUCCUGGACAACACUUUGAAAAAUGCUGGGGCAGAAACAAGCCAGCAAGCAUAUGGGAUUCAUCUGCUAAGAGAUUAGGACACAGAUGCACACAGAGGGAAGACCAUAUGAACACAGAGGGAGAAGACAGCCACCUGCAAGCCACAGAGAGAGCCCUUCAAAGAAACCAACCCUGCAGACAAUUUGAUCUCAGGUUUCUGGCCUCCAGAAUUGUGAGAAAAUAAAUUUCUGUUGUUUAAGUCA